GUCUCUGUGGCACAAUUGGCUAACGCAUUAGACUGUUAAUCUAAAGGUUGGUGGUUGGAGCCCACCCAGGGACG